GCCUCCGUAGCUCAGUUGGUUAGAGCACCUGACUCUUAAUCAGGGUGUCCUGGGUUCGAAUCCCAGCGGGGGUA
rnacentral:tRNA from 2 species